AGGAGGGGAGGAUUUAUCAGUUGAGGAGGGCGUAAACAAUGUAUAUAAUUUAAUAUGGAAAUUAGCCUAUUUUAAAGCAUGAAUCAGAAAGAAAUGACUCGGUUGUCUCCAAUAAUUGCCAAAAUAAUUAAAAUAUCAGUCAGUGAGUUCAUCAUGUUGUCUUUUCAUUAUUGCAUAAUUGUAAUUAGCUUUUCAUUGCUCACUACAUCAAUUAUGUUGACACUAAUUAACAGAUAGAUGAUGGUAAA